UGAUGAAAGGGCUUUUAUCCCAUAAAUAAAUUUACAAUUUAUCGCCUUAUCUUCAGCCAUUUCAA
rnacentral:tRNA from 1 species